rnacentral:rRNA from 1 species
UACAGAGGGUGCGAGCGUUGUCCGGAAUUACUGGGCGUAAAGGGCGCGUAGGCGGCCUGAUAAGUAGGGGGUGAAAUUCCGUGGCUCAACCACGGAACUGCCUUCUAAACUGCCAGGCUUGAGCACGGUAGAGGCAGAUGGAAUUCCCGGUGUAGCGGUGGAAUGCGUAGAGAUCGGGAAGAACACCAGUGGCGAAGGCGGUCUGCUGGGCCGUUGCUGACGCUGAGGCGCGACAGCGUGGGGAGCAAACAGG